rnacentral:lncRNA from 1 species
UUAAGCUCAGAUAUUUCAGGUGAAUCAGUUUGAAAAUUCCAUCUGGAAUCAUCUCCAGUGAUGUACUCCUCAUAUCUAACACUGUGAGCAGCCUCAUAUCACCAUCAAACAAUAAAGGUAUUGAUGUUGUUGACAGUGAAUCUUCCACUCCAAAAAUUAACAAAGAACGAAGUUUUGUGAUGUCCCUGCCUUCUUUUACAUUUUCCAAUGACUUAUGGAUUGAGAGGCAUCGGACUUUUUCAGGCCAUAUUUCAUUUUGUUCACUCGUUACUGUCAUGAAGUUUUGAUCUCUAGAUUUUAAGAGAAUAAUCUCUCGCACAAGUCCAUGGAUGCAGCAUGAGUAGACCCUUCCAUCACUGGUUGUGCCUGCAACUUGGAUCAAACUUCUGGUCAAAAGCUCAUUCAGGUAGGCUUCUGCUACUUCUUCUUGUGUUUUUCCAGCAACUUCUUUUACAUAUCCUUCUGCAAUCCAUAGACGGAUUAGUCUCAUACACUCUAUUGGAUGAUCCUCUGGAAAUAUGCUCAGGUACAAGAAACAAGAUUUGAGAUAGUAUGGCAGAUCAUUGUAACCAAGUAAGAGUAUUUUUUCCAUGCUUUGCAGUAUAUCAUUGCCUCUAAUUUCAGCACCAAGGUUGCGAGCCAACUUCUCCCAUUCAUCUAUUCUGCUCCAGUCCUUCAUGGCCAAUAUUCCACUUAUUGCCGAAAUUGCAAGAGGCAGUCCUCCACACCUUUGGACAAUAUGACGAGAAACAGCUUCCAGAUGAGGUGGGGAAGAAUUCUGCUGGAAUGUUUUCCUACAGAACAGGGUCC